UGGAAAUUUAUUUUAACAUUCUUAUUACCAAAGGUUUUAGUAAUGAAUAUUCUUCAUACUUAUUACACUUAUUGUUAUUAUUAAAGUUGUUAUUAUAUAGUUUUUAUGAUCUCAGAAUAUGGAGUUUCUUUUGUAAGAUAAUAAUAGAUCAAUAAAUAUAAAAAUAUUCUACUAUUACGUAUUUUUUAAAGACCGGCCAUUUCGACCGAUUUUGGUAGAGGUAGCUACGUCUCAAAUGCCGGUAGGCCUAGCGUUGCCUCCAUUUGCAAUUUCCACGUGUCGUAAUUUUCUUUGUUCAGCUUUUCAAUACUUAAACUCGCCCCGCUCGACUUUUUUUAUGUUCUUUUGAUAACUGUAUUAUCACGUUAUCUUCUGCACUCCUCAAUAUUAUUACUAUUAAUAAUAUUUUCAAUAAAGAUAAUAAUUAAUUAUUGAACCUGGGUCUAUAACUUGUUCUUUUCUAUAUUCAGAGGUAGGAUCACAAUAACUUUUAUUUUAUACCUUGGAUAAAUCUAUCACACCGUUCUGAGACAAAAAAAACCUUUUUCGCACAUUCUUACAUGGAUUAGGGAUAAAAAAACAAAAAAACAUCUUAAACCUAUCGAUUGUAACUAGAACUAUCUUAUAAUUACUAUAAGAACUAUUUCUUAUAACUAACGCAUCUGCGUAUGAAUGGCGAGCACGAACUCACGUUAUUAUUUUCAACAUAUAUUUAAUUAUCAUAUUUAAGAAAACGUAUUUCUAAUAAGCGAACCUAUCAACUUAUCAGCGUUAUAUAGUCGUUAUAAUAGAUAAUUCGAUAUUAUGAACGUGAUAACUUAGUAAUAAUACUUACCUAAGAAAUAUAUGAACAGCGUCGUCAAGAGCUACAGACUGUCUAUAAUAAAUAAUCGUACUACGUGUAUAUAUGAGUAACAUAGUAACGUUCAACACUUCAAGUUACCUACCCUGUUUAUCGGAUUGUACUCCUUUCAGAAAUAAACUACCAACUGUAAAUGUUAAAGAACGAGUUAUUUAUUUAUCUUUGUACUCUUUUCAGAAGUAAACUACCAACUGUAAAUAUUCAA